GAUGAACGCUGGCGGCGUGCUUAACACAUGCAAGUCGAACGAUGAAGCCCAGCUUGCUGGGUGGAUUAGUGGCGAACGGGUGAGUAACACGUGAGUAACCUGCCCUUAACUCUGGGAUAAGCCUGGGAAACUGGGUCUAAUACCGGAUAGGAGCGUCCACCGCAUGGUGGGUGUUGGAAAGAUUUAUCGGUUUUGGAUGGACUCGCGGCCUAUCAGCUUGUUGGUGAGGUAAUGGCUCACCAAGGCGACGACGGGUAGCCGGGCUGAGAGGGUGACCGGCCACAAUGGGACUGAGACACGGCCCAGACUCCUACGGGAGGCAGCAGUGGGGAAUAUUGCACAAUGGGCGAAAGCCUGAUGCCGCGACGCCGCGUGAGGGAUGACGGCCUUCGGGUUGUAAACCUCUUUCAGUAGGGAAGAAGCGAAAGUGACGGUACCUGCAGAAGAAGCACCGGCUAACUACGUGCCAGCCGCCGCAGUAA
rnacentral:rRNA from 1 species